rnacentral:rRNA from 1 species
GACGUAGGGCGCGAGCGUUGUCCGGAUUUAUUGGGCGUAAAGAGCUCGUAGGCGGCUUGUCGCGUCGUGUGUGAAAUCUCAGGGCUCAACUCUGACAUUGCAUACGAUACGGGCAGGCUUGAGUUCGGGUAGGGGAGACUGGAAUUCCUGGGUGUAGCGGUGAAAUGCGCAGAUAUCAGGAGGAACACCGGUGGCGAAGGCGGGUCUCUGGGCCGAUGACUGACGCUGAGGAGCGAAAGCGUGGGGAGCGAACAGG